rnacentral:lncRNA from 1 species
UCUUCCUCCAUUAAUUCUUCUCCAUAUCUAAAGCAUCUAAGAGAUCAAAAGAAGAAGAAGAAGAUCAGCCUUCAAAGAUCCUUGCAAGCUAGCAUGCCCCGAGAGCUUGAUCAGCAUCCGUUCUUCAUGUGGAUGAUCUCUAGAGGUUGGACAUCUUUUUAUGAUUGUGAGCAACCUGAAGGAACUCCUAUCCAUGUGAUAUACUUGCGGAGAUUAACAACCCAUGCUUUGAUAAUGAGUUCUGAACUCGUUAGAUCAGGCUUGGUCAGAUUUAAGGGUUAGAUCUAGUC